rnacentral:piRNA from 1 species
UCAAGGAAAAGUGCCAAACAGAAGU